rnacentral:rRNA from 1 species
GAUGAACGCUGGCGGCGUGCCUAAUACAUGCAAGUCGAGCGAACGGACGAGAAGCUUGCUUCUCUGAUGUUAGCGGCGGACGGGUGAGUAACACGUGGAUAACCUACCUAUAAGACUGGGAUAACUUCGGGAAACCGGAGCUAAUACCGGAUAAUAUUAUGAACCGCAUGGUUCAAAAGUGAAAGACGGUCUUGCUGUCACUUAUAGAUGGAUCCGCGCUGCAUUAGCUAGUUGGUAAGGUAACGGCUUACCAAGGCAACGAUGCAUAGCCGACCUGAGAGGGUGAACGGCCACACUGGAACUGAGACACGGUCCAGACUCCUACGGGAGGCAGCAGUAGGGAAUCUUCCGCAAUGGGCGAAAGCCUGACGGAGCAACGCCGCGUGAGUGAUGAAGGUCUUCGGAUCGUAAAACUCUGUUAUUAGGGAAGAACAUAUGUGUAAGUAACUGUGCACAUCUUGACGGUACCUAAUCAGAAAGCCACGGCUAACUACGUG